rnacentral:rRNA from 1 species
UACGUAGGGUGCAAGCGUUGUUCGGAAUUACUGGGCGUAAAGGGCGCGUAGGCGGCCAGCACAAGUCAGUUGUGAAAUCUCCGAGCUUAACUCGGAAAGGUCAACUGAUACUGUGCGGCUAGAGUGCAGAAGGGGCAACUGGAAUUCUUGGUGUAGCGGUGAAAUGCGUAGAUAUCAAGAGGAACACCUGCGGCGAAGGCGGGUUGCUGGGCUGACACUGACGCUGAGGCGCGAAAGCCAGGGGAGCGAACGGG